rnacentral:lncRNA from 1 species
CCGGUCGGCACCAGCGUCCAGCGGCUACCAUUUCAUCGCCGGCAGUCCAAGCUCGAGCUCCAGCGACUGGCUGCAGCAAGCAAGCACCUGACAGCUGCUGCUCCUGACGCGGCAGUUCGGAGUCGUUGCUCCCACCGCACUUCCAUCUUCUCCAUUCAUGCACUGUUCAGAUCCAACCAAAGAGCGAGCUCCGGCAACCGGCGGGCACCACACAAUUGCUGCUCCUCCACCUCCACCAUGAUGCAUGCCAACGCAUGGAAGUAUAGAUCCAAGUGA